CUCCGGUGAUCCCCGCCGGACCCGACUGCUAUCAGAGUGGGACUAAGCCAUGCGAGUCAACGUAGCAAUACGUGGCAUACGGCUCAGUAACACGUAGUCAACAUGCCCAGGGGACGAGGAUAACCUCGGGAAACUGAGGAUAAACCUCGAUAGGCCAUGAUUUCUGGAAUGAUUCUUGGCUCAAACCUAUAUGGCCCCUGGAUUGGACUGCGGCCGAUCAGGCUGUUGGUGGGGUAAUGGCCCACCAAACCUAUUACCGGUACGGGCUCUGAGAGGAGGAGCCCGGAGAUGGGCACUGAGACAAGGGCCCAGGCCCUAUGGGGCGCAGCAGGCGCGAAACCUCUGCAAUAGGCGAAAGCUUGACAGGGUUACUCUGAGUGAUUUCCGCUAAGGGAAUCUUUUGGCACCUCUAAAAAUGGUGCAGAAUAAGGGGUGGGCAGGUCUGGUGUCAGCCGCCGCGGUAAUACCAGCACCCCGAGUGGUCGGGACAAUUAUUGGGCCUAAAGCAUCCGUAGCCGGUCCUGCAAGUCUUCCGUUAAAUCCAGCUGCUCAACAGAUGGGCUGCGGGAGAUACUACAGGGCUAGGAGGCGGGAGAGGCAAGCGGUACUUUAUGGGUAGGGGUAAAAUCCGCUGAUCCAUAGAAGACCACCAGUGGCGAAGGCGGCUUGCCAGAACGCGCUCGACGGUGAGGGAUGAAAGCUGGGGGAGCAAACCGGAUUAGAUACCCGGGUAGUCCCAGCUGUAAACGAUGCAGACUCGGUGAUGGGUUGGCCUCGCGCCUGCCCAGUGCCGCAGGGAAGCCGUUAAGUCUGCCGCCUGGGGAGUACGGUCGCAAGACUGAAACUUAAAGGAAUUGGCGGGGGAGCA
rnacentral:rRNA from 1 species